AAACAAGCGCCUAACGCUUGGGAGAAGUUGGAGAUAACCCUCGGCCUGGGCGACAAGAGACCCACGUGCGACGAGGGCCUUCACUCUGACUGAGCAAGUCAAUACCGUAUGCCAUAAGGAGGCAAGGAAAGAAAUGACAGAACGCGCUGUCGGUACAGUCAAGUGGUUCAACAGCGGGAAGGGCUACGGCUUCAUCGAGCGUGAAGGCGGCCCGGACGUAUUCGUCCACUUCACCGCAAUCCAGGCGGACGGUUUCCGGACCCUGGAAGAGGGCCAGCGGGUGGAGUUCUCCAUCGAGCAGGGGCCGAAAGGACUUCAGGCGGCCAACGUCGUCAUCGUCUAGAACCCCCUAACUGCCCAAAAUGCAGCCCCGCCGAACGGCGGGGCUGCUGUA
rnacentral:sRNA from 1 species